AUUUCUCGCUACCCACUAUACCUACUCUAGUACACUUCAGUCUAUGCUGCAGAAGAAGCGCAUCGAGUCGAGUUCUGAGUUUGCGCGGCUAGUUUAACCACCGUGUUUUCCAUAGGUGUUCUCGAGCCUACUGAGCUGAGCCAUGGAGUGUGCCGACGCCGAGUUCCUCGCGGAGAAAACGCUGGUUAGCAUUAUUCCCACAUUCAGUGCGGAGAAGCUCUACCUGAUCACUGGCGACGUCGGUCCAUUCGCAGCGGGCACUCCGCUCAACGUUCCCCUUUGGAUGGCCCUCAACCUAAAGCAGAGACAGCAGUGUCGAAUUUUGCCGCCGGCCUGGCUUUGCAAGGAGUUUCUCGAGGAUAAGAAGCAGGACGAGAUGGACUCGGCGGUCUUCACUGAAAUGCCGUGCGAACACUACUUGGAGGUGACGCAGAUGCUGUUCGAUGUCGCCGCUGCCGACAUUCCGGACGCCAGCGAAGUGCGGACACUGGUGAAGGACAUCUGGGACAUCCGGCAGGCCAAGCUGCGCAGCUCGGUAGACGCUUUCGUCAAGAGUGACGAGGUGCACGCCCGGGUCGAUCACCUGACCGUGAUGGAGAUCGUUACCGUCCGCCGCCUCUUCUGUGGUGCUCUCAAUCACCUCAACAAGCUGCGCCAGGCUCGUGCAGACAAGUGUAGUGGACUGGACUCCAGACAUUCAGAGCAGCACGCACAUCGUCUUCUUCAUAAGCAGGCGAAAAGCACCUGACUCUGUACUUCUGGCUGCAUAUAUGCCCUUGCCUGAAACUAAACCCCAAUGGGCCCUUUAAGUGAAUUUUUUAAGGAGACGGAAUCAAAGUUCCCGGACCUGAUGUGAUACAUGGCAGCUGGACGGCUAAUCUGCAGAAAAACCUUGUUGAAUUCCUGAACCUUGGAAAUUAAGGACCGUGUGAUGGGGCACCACCAUUGUCACAAAGCCAAACAUUCUAGGUGCUGUCACGCAAGAGUGUAUGAGACAAGUCAAGCUUUAUUUUUGCAUGUGUAAGCACUGUUGAAAUGCUUAGUCUUCAAGGAGCAUCUCAACCAUGUCCUUUUCCUGGCACUGUACGUCAUCUAACCUCCGAGCCUGUAAAAAUGGGAAAGAAAGCAAGGUGACCAAGUAUGCUAUAGUCUCUGUCUUGACACAUUGUGAUAAUCAAAUUAAAUGCAGUGAGCAAUAUCA